rnacentral:rRNA from 1 species
AUAUUGGACAAUGGGCGAAAGCCUGAUCCAGCCAUGCCGCGUGUGUGAAGAAGGUCUUNGGAUUGNANAGCACUUUAAGUUGGGANGCAGGGCAGUAAGUUAAUACCUUGCUGUUUUGACGUUACCAACAGAAUAAGCACCGGCUAACUUCGUGCCAGCAGCCGCGGUAAUACGAAGGGUGCAAGCGUUAAUCGGAAUUACUGGGCGUAAAGCGCGCGUAGGUGGUUUGAUAAGUUGGAUGUGAAAGCCCCGGGCUCAACCUGGGAACUGCUUUCAAAACUGGCAAGCUAGAGUAUGGCAGAGGGUAGUGGAAUUUCCUGUGUAGCGGUGAAAUGCGUAGAUAUAGGAAGGAACACCAGUGGCGAAGGCGACUACCUGGACUGAUACUGACACUGAGGUGCGAAAGCGUGGGGAGCAAACAGG